rnacentral:rRNA from 1 species
UACGUAGGGCGCAAGCGUUUGUCCGGAAUUAUUGGGCGUAAAGAGCUUGUAGGCGGUUUGUCGCGUCUGCUGUGAAAAUCCGGGGCUCAACCCCGGACUUGCAGUGGGUACGGGCAGACUAGAGUGUGGUAGGGGAGACUGGAAUUCCUGGUGUAGCGGUGAAAUGCGCAGAUAUCAGGAAGAACACCCGUGGCGAAAGCGGCUCUCUGGAACGGUACUGACGCUGAGACGCGAAAGCGUGGGGGAGCGAACAGG